rnacentral:rRNA from 1 species
UAAGGAAUAUUGGUCAAUGGAGGCAACUCUGAACCAGCCAUGCCGCGUGCAGGAAGACGGCCCUCUGGGUUGUAAACUGCUUUUAUUCGGGAAUAAACCUGCUUACGUGUAAGUAGCUGAAUGUACCGAAGGAAUAAGGAUCGGCUAACUCCGUGCCAGCAGCCGCGGUAAUACGGAGGAUCCAAGCGUUAUCCGGAUUUAUUGGGUUUAAAGGGUGCGUAGGCGGCCUGUUAAGUCAGGGGUGAAAGACGGUGGCUCAACCAUCGCAGUGCCCUUGAUACUGAUGGGCUUGAAUGCCCUGGAGGUAGGUGGAACGGGUUGUGUAGCGGUGAAAUGCAUAGAUAUGACCCAGAACCCCAAUUGCGAAGGCAGCCUACUACGGGGUGAUUGACACUGAGGCACGAAAGCAUGGGGAGCAAACA